GCAGCGGCGGCGGCGGCAGGAGGAGGAGGAAGGCGCGGGAGGCGCGCGGCAGAGGCGAGGCGGCUGCGGAAUACGGGCAGCGCAAGGAGCAAACUCGAGCCAUUCCUUGAGGCUGCAGGAUCAGCAGAAACCUGAGAGCGUAUUGCCCAAGAGACCAGCUGUGGACCAGGACCCAGUUGUGCUAGGUACCAACACAGAAUAAAAAGACAAUCCCGGCUCCAAAGAGAUCAGAAAGUUAUUCACCCUUUUUUAAAAAAUCAGCAACUGUAUUUGACUCAACAUCCUCUUACGGCAGUGAAUUCCAGUGUCCGACUACAUGCUACGCAGAGCUGGCUGCAAGAUAUUCUUAAAAUGGUGUAUUCAAUACAUUUGGCUAUUUUUGCAUAAAUAAAACAAUGAACAUA